AUGCUAUGGUGUGGGCACUCCCUCUGUAGAUCUUUGCAUCUUUACCAUGGAUCAUAGAGAGAUUCAUUAUCUUUCUGUCUGAAGUUGUUGAGUUUGAUUCUUAAUUU